rnacentral:rRNA from 1 species
UACAGAGGUCUCAAGCGUUGUUCGGAUUCAUUGGGCGUAAAGGGUGCGUAGGUGGCGGGGUAAGUCAGGUGUGAAAUUUCGGAGCUUAACUCCGAAACUGCAUUUGAUACUGCCUUGCUUGAGGACUGGAGAGGAGACUGGAAUUCACGGUGUAGCAGUGAAAUGCGUAGAUAUCGUGAGGAAGACCAGUGGCGAAGGCGGGUCUCUGGGACGGUACUGACGCUGAGACGCGAAAGCGUGGGGAGCGAACAGG